rnacentral:rRNA from 1 species
GGGUUGUGAGGUUAAGCGACUAAGCGUACACGGUGGAUGCCCUGGCAGUCAGAGGCGAUGAAGGACGUGCUAAUCUGCGAAAAGCGUCGGUAAGGUGAUAUGAACCGUUAUAACCGGCGAUGUCCGAAUGGGGAAACCCAGUGCAAUUCGUUGCACUAUCGUUAACUGAAUACAUAGGUUAACGAGGCGAACCGGGGGAACUGAAACAUCUAAGUACCCCGAGGAAAAGAAAUCAACCGAGAUUCCCCCAGUAGCGGCGAGCGAACGGGGAGCAGCCCAGAGUCUGAAUCAGCUUGUGUGUUAGUGGAACGGUCUGGAAAGUCCGACGGUACAGGGUGAUAGUCCCGUACACCAAAAUGCACAGGCUGUGAACUCGAAGAGUAGGGCGGGACACGUGGUAUCCUGUCUGAAUAUGGGGGGACCAUCCUCCAAGGCUAAAUACUCCUGACUGACCGAUAGUGAACCAGUACCGUGAGGGAAAGGCGAAAAGAACCCCGGCGAGGGGAGUGAAAAAGAACCUGAAACCGUGUACGUACAAGCAGUGGGAGCACCUUCGGGUGUGACUGCGUACCUUUUGUAUAAUGGGUCAGCGACUUAUAUUCUGUAGCAAGGUUAACCGUAUAGGGGAGCCGCAGGGAAACCGAGUCUUAACUGGGCGUUAAGUUGCAGGGUAUAGACCCGAAACCCGGUGAUCUAGCCAUGGGCAGGUUGAAGGUUGGGUAACACUAACUGGAGGACCGAACCGACUAAUGUUGAAAAAUUAGCGGAUGACUUGUGGCUGGGGGUGAAAGGCCAAUCAAACCGGGAGAUAGCUGGUUCUCCCCGAAAGCUAUUUAGGUAGCGCCUCGUGAACUCAUCUUCGGGGUAGAGCGACUGUUUCGGCUAGGGUCAUCCCGACUUACCAACCCGAUGCAAACUACGAAUACCGAAGAAUGUUAUCACGGGAGACACACGGCGGGUGCUAACGUCCGUCGUGAAGAGGGAAACAACCCAGACCGCCAGCUAAGGUCCCAAAGUCAUGGUUAAGUGGGAAACGAUGUGGGAAGGCACAGACAGCCAGGAUGUUGGCUUAGAAGCAGCCAUCAUUUAAAGAAAGCGUAAUAGCUCACUGGUCGAGUCGGCCUGCGCGGAAGAUGUAACGGGGCUAAACCAUGCACCGAAGCUGCGGCAGCGACACUAUGUGUUGUUGGGUAGGGAGCGUUCUGUAAGCCUGCGAAGGUGACCUGUGAGGGUUGCUGGAGGUAUCAGAAGUGCGAAUGCUGACAUAAGUAACGAUAAAGCGGGUGAAAAGCCCGCUCGCCGGAAGACCAAGGGUUCCUGUCCAACGUUAAUCGGGGCAGGGUGAGUCGACCCCUAAGGCGAGGCCGAAAGGCGUAGUCGAUGGGAAACAGGUUAAUAUUCCUGUACUUGGUGUUACUGCGAAGGGGGGACGGAGAAGGCUAUGUUAGCCGGGCGACGGUUGUCCCGGUUUAAGCAUGUAGGCUGGUUGUCCAGGCAAAUCCGGAUAAUCAAGGCUGAGGUGUGAUGACGAGGUACUACGGUGCUGAAGUAACAAAUGCCCUGCUUCCAGGAAAAGCCUCUAAGCAUCAGGUAACAUCAAAUCGUACCCCAAACCGACACAGGUGGUCAGGUAGAGAAUACCAAGGCGCUUGAGAGAACUCGGGUGAAGGAACUAGGCAAAAUGGUGCCGUAACUUCGGGAGAAGGCACGCUGGUGUGUAGGUGAAGUCCCUGCGGAUGGAGCUGAGACCAGUCGAAGAUACCAGCUGGCUGCAACUGUUUAUUAAAACACAGCACUGUGCAAACACGAAAGUGGACGUAUACGGUGUGACGCCUGCCCGGUGCCGGAAGGUUAAUUGAUGGGGUUAUCCGUAAGGAGAAGCUCUUGAUCGAAGCCCCGGUAAACGGCGGCCGUAACUAUAACGGUCCUAAGGUAGCGAAAUUCCUUGUCGGGUAAGUUCCGACCUGCACGAAUGGCGUAAUGAUGGCGAGGCUGUCUCCACCCGAGACUCAGUGAAAUUGAACUCGCUGUGAAGAUGCAGUGUACCCGCGGCAAGACGGAAAGACCCGUGAACCUUUACUAUAGCUUGACACUGAACAUUGAGCCUUGAUGUAGGAUAGGUGGGAGGCUUUGAAGCGUGGACGCCAGUCUGCGUGGAGCCAACCUUGAAAUACCACCCUUUAAUGUUUGAUGUUCUAACGUUGGCCCCUGACCGGGGUUGCGGACAGUGUCUGGUGGGUAGUUUGACUGGGGCGGUCUCCUCCCAAAGCGUAACGGAGGAGCACGAAGGUUAGCUAAUCCUGGUCGGACAUCAGGAGGUUAGUGCAAUGGCAUAAGCUAGCUUGACUGCGAGCGUGACGGCGCGAGCAGGUGCGAAAGCAGGUCAUAGUGAUCCGGUGGUUCUGAAUGGAAGGGCCAUCGCUCAACGGAUAAAAGGUACUCCGGGGAUAACAGGCUGAUACCGCCCAAGAGUUCAUAUCGACGGCGGUGUUUGGCACCUCGAUGUCGGCUCAUCACAUCCACGGGGCUGAAGUAGGUCCCAAGGGUAUGGCUGUUCGCCAUUUAAAGUGGUACGCGAGCUGGGUUUAGAACGUCGUGAGACAGUUCGGUCCCUAUCUGCCGUGGGCGCUGGAGAAUUGAGGGGGGCUGCUCCUAGUACGAGAGGACCGGAGUGGACGCAUCACUGGUGUUCGGGUUGUCAUGCCAAUGGCACUGCCCGGUAGCUAAAUGCGGAAGAGAUAAGUGCUGAAAGCAUCUAAGCACGAAACUUGCCCCGAGAUGAGUUCUCCCUGAGACUUUAAGUCUCCUGAAGGAACGUUAAAGACGAUGACGUUGAUAGGCCGGGUGUGUAAGCGCAGCGAUGCGUUGAGCUAACCGGUACUAAUGAACCGUGAGGCUUAACCUUACAACGCCGAAG